rnacentral:rRNA from 1 species
UACAGAGGUCUCAAGCGUUGUUCGGAAUUACUGGGCGUAAAGGGCGCGUAGGCGGCAUGGCAAGUCAGGAGUGAAAGGCCUGGGCUCAACCGAGGAACUGCUUUUGAUACUGCCAAGCUAGAGUGCGGAAGGGGCAACUGGAAUUCCCAGUGUAGCGGUGAAAUGCGUAGAUAUUGGGAAGAACACCUGAGGCGAAGGCGGGUUGCUGGGCCGACACUGACGCUGAGGCGCGAAAGCCAGGGGAGCAAACGGG